AAGAAUGUAGAAGGAGAUGCAGAGCAGCCAUGCAUGCAUGGGUUUUUGAAAUAUUCCAUCUCUUGCACACUGGAAGAUGAGGACAAGCCGCCAUUAAUGGCGGCCUUAUGAUCUGUUGAUCCUUGAGUUCAGGCUUUCGGUUUGCAAGGCAUGGAAUGAAUCAACUAUUCAUGAUAAGCUCCCCAUGUCAUAAGCUAAGAAAGGCUUUUUUUUUUUUUUUUUCAUACAUACAUAUAUAUGCAUAUAUAUAUCAUUCCUAAACUUGAUAAAGCAUAAUUAUUUUUAAUAUAAAUGCAUGAAUACCUAUCUUUCAUGUAGGUAUAAUACCUAAGUUUCUACUUAUAACACCUUAGUUUAUAACAAGUUCAUCUCUAUAUAUGUAUAAUGCUUGACCUAAUUGUAUCCUCAUUUGUCCAUGUACAUAUGUGAAUUAUCAUUUUAUUAGAUUUUUGUGUUGAUUUUUUUAUAAGAUUAUCAUAAAUAUGUUACCCUAAAAAGGAUGUUUAUCGCUAAGAUUAUUAGGACCAUUAUAUCAUUUUAUUUUUUUAUUUGACAUUUUUGUUUUCAAAGGGAAUGAUCAGAGGCUAUUAUACGGUCUCCAACCACUCCUAAUGUGUCUAACAAUUCAAGUACCACAUUCUUAAGAUCAACUGUGCUAGAGGGAAUUCGAGCCCCCGACCUGAGGGGUCUUACACCAAGAAUGCUAACCGAUAUGCCGAGGUGGGCCCAAAAGAUAAUAUAUGCGAUUCAAACUCGUAACCAUCUCACGGUGGGAAACUACACCCUCAACCAGUAUGUUGCUUCAGUUGGUGAAGACAUCUGCGGUGGAAUGAAUCCCUGCUUACGCAAAUGAUUUUGAUGGGAUACAACGAUUUAGAAGGGAAGAGUACGAUGAAGGUUGACCCACUGACAAGGGGUUGUGAGACCCACUUGACAGAUCGAGCGAAGUCAUAUGAAACAAGCCGACAAGUUCAAAAACCAAAUGGACCACAAGAUAGAUCAAUGACGGCCGGAAAUAUAAGCUCGGGCCACUUGGUCAGAAAAAGAAACAAGAAAGCAUAUGAGCCAAACCCACUACAGGAAAGUCGAUCUGACAUGAUAGUUUACACUUCUAUGGAGCUGAUCCAAGGGAAGAUCUGGUUCCUCGCUAUUUCGAAUCGUCCCAUAGUUGCUCAGAGGCUCCUCACGAGUUAUCAAGGAUCGAUGGGCAUAGAUAGAUCAGUUGAUCGACCCACACCAACUAAGCUUAGCAAAUUGAGCUGAUUUUACCAACCCGAAGCCAAAUAAGCUAAUUAGUUGUGGAGCCAAAAAACAACCGGACGAUAAACCCAUAUAUAUAAAAUAUCAGAAAUAUCUUAGUACAUACCCCUUUAAAGCAUG